GAACCUGACUCAGCAGCAGAGCAUCUGCUUUGCAUGCAGAAGACCCCAGGUUGAGUCCCUGGCAUCUUCA